GGCCGGUUAGCUCAGUUGGUUGAGCGUGGUGCUGAAAACACCAAGGUUGCGGGUUCGAUCCCCCUUUGGUCU
rnacentral:tRNA from 1 species